rnacentral:rRNA from 1 species
UACAGAGGGUGCGAGCGUUAAUCGGAAUUAUUGGGCGUAAAGCGUGCGUAGCCGGUUAUUUAAGUCGGAUGUGAAAGCCCCGGGCUCAACCUGGGAAUUGCAUUCGAGACUGAAUAGCUAGGGUGCGGUAGAGGGAAGCGGAAUUUCCGGUGUAGCGGUGAAAUGCGUAGAUAUCGGAAGGAACAUCAGUGGCGAAAGCGGCUUCCUGGACCAGCACCGACGUUCAGGCACGAAAGCGUGGGGAGCAAACAGG